AUUUACAAAAAAAAAUUGAGGAUACAAAAGGUAGUCUAGUUGAUAUUAGCUCUCAACUCUUCUUGUUAGGAAGUCAAUUAAAUGUCUACCCUUUUCUAAUUUGGGGCCAAGUCUAGUUGUUUUUGUGUAAUUAGAUGGGGAGAAGUGAACAGCAACAGAUUAUACCAAGCUUACUUUAGAAAUUUUUAACUUGUUUUCAAGGCAUGAUUGUCUUGUCCUAGGCAUGACAUUUUAGACCCCAAAGGAUGAGUGACUGCCUAGGUUUUUUCAUCUCUUAUUUGUUCCCUGUUUCACAUAAGUUAAACUGCUCAUCACAAACUGUCCCACACCUGAAGAAACCUCAUAGCACUCUUUUUUAAUUUGAUGUAUGUCAAAAAUACCAUGAAAAUUAGUUAGUUUCUAUUUGAACAUGCAUAUUUGAUACAUAUUGUCCUUAUGAUGCGUUCUGCAGUUUAACACUCAUCACAAACUUAUUUUUUUUUAUAUGUUAUUUACUAUUAAUAUGUCUAAGUUGCUCUAGAUUUGUGCAGUUCUGCAGUGAGUGCAAGUGAGGCAGCAAAGGCAGGAAUCCCAUUAGGAGAAUAUGAAAACAGUUCUCAAGUAGGUCCUAACUUUAGUCAACUGAUAAUUUUCCAUUAAUUGGGUUUUGACGGUUGCUUCUUUGUUUUACAGUUCUGCUUGAAUGCUUUAAUUUGUUGAACUGACAAAAACUCUUCGUCAAGCAUUUCCUGUGAAUUUAUUUAAGCAAAAUCUGUGGUAGACUGAAAAGUUUCUUCUUUGUUGUUGGGCCACUAAGCAUUUACAGAUUGAUUUUGCAUUUGAUGAUGUUGAUAUAAUAGAGGAAAGAACACUAAUUUCAGUCAUUGGACGCCGAAGAUUGCAAGGUGAGGAGUCCAUAAUCCAAGAGAAGGUGAGUCGAGUUUUGUUGUCUGUCCUAUUUCCAUGGCUCUCUAGGCAGAGCCAUGGCGUGGAAAUUUACCUGAAGACAUGUAAGUACUCAAAAUAUUUCUUAGCAUUAAUGCUCUGAAUUUAUACAAUCUAAAAUUUAUUCACACUCUAUUUUAAUUACUUCAGUCUGAAACACUUAUUGCUAACUUUCACUUGCAGUUGGUGCUAAGCAUGGCUGAUCAGCUUGUAUUCAUGGUUAAAGAAGAUCUAUAUAAAUGUGGUUUAGAAGGUUCUAUUCCAGUUCUAGUAGAAUCUCUCAACUGGUUGGAAACUGCUGAAGAAUUGAUGACCUAUUUUUAGGUGAUGCAGAGGUAAGCUCUUUUGAGGACAAUAUCUCCCAUAUUUUGCUAUCUGUCUGUCUAUCUAUCUAUCAUCAUUUGCUUUGCUUUGUGCAACUCAUCUCCUACCAUGCUUUGCUUUGUACUUAACGUGGUUGGGUUAUUUCCUUUGGCCAAAAGAAAGAAUAGUUAUAAGGAGCAUAACAAUGUGAUGUUCGUGAAGAAUUUUUGUUAUCUAUAAGUUGAUUGCAGCUGCUGAGAAGGGUGUGCAAGCAUGCUUAAUAAGUUUAAAUAUUUUCACAAUUGUAUAUCUUUCUCAAUGCUUUUCUCUUCUGUUUAAAUAUUAGCUCUCAACUCUUCUUGUUAGGAAGUCAAUUAAAUGUCUACCCUUUUCUAAUUUGGGGCCAAGUCUAGUUGCUUUUUGUGUAAUUAGAUGGGGAGAAGUGAACAGAAACAGAAUAUACCAAGCUUACUUUAGCAAUUUUUAACUUGUUUUCAAGGCAUGAUUGUCUUGUCCUAGGCAUGACAUUUUAGACCCCAAAGGAUGAGUGACUGCCUAGGUUUUUUCAUCUCUUAUUUGCUCCCUGUUUUACAUAAGUUAAACUGCUCAUCACAAACUGUCCCACACCCGAAGAAACCUCAUAGCACUCUUUUUUUAAUUGAUGUAUGUCAAAAAUACCAUGAUAAUUAGUUAGUUUCUAUUUGAACAUGCAUAUUUGAUACUUAUUGUCCUUAUGAUGCGUUCAAUAGAUAAGCAAAUAGCAUACACUUUUCCUAUCUGCAAACAAAAAAUUCUAUUACCCUAACAACAAAAUACUUGAAAGAAAAUCCAACAUAGAGAAAUGUUAACAUAGUUCUAAAACCACCAAAAGUCUGACUAAUGACUACAAAGUUAAAGGAAGAUGCAAA
rnacentral:sRNA from 1 species